AUAAUAUACAAGCAACAGGGAAAUUAUGCAGAAGCCAUAUCGUGCUAUAAUGAGGUACUACGUAUUGACCCCAUGGCAGCAGAUGGGCUGGUCAAUAGAGGCAACACAUACAAAGAGAUUGGUAGGGUUAAUGAAGCUGUACAAGAUUACAUGCGAGCUAUUACCGUUAGACCUACCAUGGCAGAGGCUCAUGCAAAUUUG
rnacentral:misc_RNA from 1 species